GAUGAACGCUGGCGGCGUGCCUAAUACAUGCAAGUCGAGCGAACGGACGAGAAGCUUGCUUCUCUGAUGUUAGCGGCGGACGGGUGAGUAACACGUGGAUAACCUACCUAUAAGACUGGGAUAACUUCGGGAAACCGGAGCUAAUACCGGAUAAUAUUUUGAACCGCAUGGUUCAAAAGUGAAAGACGGUCUUGCUGUCACUUAUAGAUGGAUCCGCGCUGCAUUAGCUAGUUGGUAAGGUAACGGCCUACCAAGGCAACGAUGCAUAGCCGACCUGAGAGGGUGAUCGGCCACACUGGAACUGAGACACGGUCCAGACUCCUACGGGAGGCAGCAGUAGGGAAUCUUCCGCAAUGGGCGAAAGCUUGACGGAGCAACGCCGCGUGAGUGAUGAAGGUCUUCGGAUCGUAAAACUCUGUUAUUAGGGAAGAACAUAUGUGUAAGUAACUGUGCACAUCUUGACGGUACCUAAUCAGAAAGCCACGGCUAACUACGUG
rnacentral:rRNA from 1 species